UCCCGCCGGACCUGACUGCUAUCGGAUUGAUACUAAGCCAUGCGAGUCUUUGUAGUAAUACAAGGCAGACGGCUCAGUAACACGUAGUCAACCUACCCUAUGGACAAGAAUAAUCUCGGGAAACUGGGCAUAAUUCUUGAUAGAUCAUAAUGCCUGGAAUGGUUUAUGGUUAAAAUGAUUCGUCGCCAUAGGAUGGGACUGCGGCCUAUCAGCUUGUUGGUGAGGUAAUGGCCCACCAAGGCGAUUACAGGUACGGGCUCUGAGAGGAGAAGCCCGGAGAUGGGUACUGAGACACGGACCCAGGCCCUAUGGGGCGCAGCAGGCGAGAAAACUUUGCAAUGUGCGAAAGCACGAUAAGGUUAAUCCGAGUGAUUUCUGCUAAAGAAAUCUUUUGCCAGUCAUAAAACCACUGGUGAAUAAGGGGUGGGCAAGUUCUGGUGUCAGCCGCCGCGGUAAAACCAGCACCUCAAGUGGUCAGGAUGAUUAUUGGGCCUAAAGCAUCCGUAGCCGGCUUUGUUAGUUUUCGGUUAAAUCCAUGUGCUCAACGCAUGGGCUGCCGAAAAUACUGCAUAGCUAGGGAGUGGGAGAGGUAGACGGUACUCAGUAGGAAGGGGUAAAAUCCUUUGAUCUAUUGAUGACCACCUGUGGCGAAGGCGGUCUACCAGAACACGUUCGACGGUGAGGGAUGAAAGCUGGGGGAGCAAACCGGAUUAGAUACCCGGGUAGUCCCAGCUGUAAACGAUGCAGACUCGAUGAUGCAUUGGCAUAAUAGCCAGUGCAGUGUCGCAGGGAAGCCGUUAAGUCUGCCGCCUGGGAAGUACGUACGCAAGUAUGAAACUUAAAGGAAUUGGCGGGGGAGCACCACAAGGGGUGAAGCCUGCGGUUCAAU
rnacentral:rRNA from 1 species